AAUGAGGUGCCUGAAAAAGGAUAAUUUUGAUAGAAUUGAACAUGUGGCCCCACCCACCCUCAUUA
rnacentral:tRNA from 1 species